rnacentral:misc_RNA from 1 species
AAGAGUAAGGGUCUCCGGCCCGAACCUCCAACCCUCUGUCGUUAUAACUACUUCGUUGCUUUGGCGGGACCGCGACGGUCCUCCCGAGCGCGCCGGUCUCCGGACAGGCGAGCGCCCGCCAGAGUCAAACCAAACUCUUGUUUUAAACCAGUCAGUCUGAGUAUAAAAUUUUAAUUAAAUUA